AAGCCAAGAAACUAGAAAAAAAAAAAAAAAAAAGAAAUAAAGAUUGCAGCACCUGAGUUUCGCGUAUGGUCACCCACUACACUACUCGGUCAGGCUCUUACCAGCUUAACUACAGUUGAUCGGACGGGAAACGGUGCUUUCUGGUAGAUAUGGCCGCAACC
rnacentral:rRNA from 1 species